UACGUAGGGUGCAAGCGUUGUCCGGAAUUACUGGGCGUAAAGCGCGUGUAGGCGGCCCGGAAAGUCGGAUGUGAAAGCCCUGGGCUUAACCUAGGAAGUGCAUUCGAGACUGCAUUGCUAGAGUAUGGGAGAGGGAAGUGGAAUUUCCGGUGUAGCGGUGAAAUGCGUAGAUAUCGGAAGGAACAUCAGUGGCGAAAGCGACUUCCUGGACCAAUACUGACGCUCAUGUGCGAAAGCGUGGGGAGCAAACAGG
rnacentral:rRNA from 1 species